AUACGGAGGAUCCGAGCGUUAUCCGGAUUUAUUGGGUUUAAAGGGAGCGUAGGCGGACGCUUAAGUCAGUUGUGAAAGUUUGCGGCUCAACCGUAAAAUUGCAGUUGAUACUGGGUGUCUUGAGUACAGUAGAGGCAGGCGGAAUUUGUGGGGUUAGGGUGGAAUGCUUAGAUAUCACGAAGAACUCCGAUUGCGAAGGCAGCUUGCUGGACUGUAACUGACGCUGAUGCUCGAAAGUGUGGGUAUCAAACAGGAUUAGAUACCCUGGUAGUCCACACAGUAAACGAUGAAUACUCGCUGUUUGCGAUAUACAGUAGGCGGCCAAGCGAAAGCGUUAAGUAUUCCACCUGGGGAGUACGCCGGCAACGGUGAAACUCAAAUGAAUUGACGGGG
rnacentral:rRNA from 1 species